AUUUCACAUUGGUAUCUUCCGGCUACUCAUCUUGCUUAGGGUUUUUGGUACUGUGAAAGAUUGUGAAGUAGACCUUAUAAAAAUGAGCUCAAAGAAAAGUCAGUAAAGGAGAUAUCCUCAUGAAAUUAGAACAAGUAUAGUUUGGCAAGUAGAGUUGUUUGUGAUAACCUCUGUUUUAGAUUGUCUGCCAAUCCAAGAAUUGAGAGAACAAGACAGCAUAAACUGAGAUUUAAUGAAGACUACUAUUUCUCAUAGUUAUGGUAUUAGCUAUUUUUGAGUUUUGAGAGUGUUCAGUAGCAAACUUUUUGAACUUUUUGUAAUUAUGGGAAUAAUGUAUGAGAACUGCUUAGACAGCAUCUGUUUCUAUUUUUAGACUGGGCUGGCUUGGAUGAAGAUGAAGAUGCACAUGUAUGGGAGGAUAAUUGGGAUGAUGACAAUGUUGAGGAUGACUUUUCCAAUCAGUUACGAGCUGAACUAGAGAAACAUGGUUAUAAGAUGGAGACUUCAUAGCAUCCAGAAGAAGCGUUGAAGUAACCUAAACUUGAACUGUUUACUAAAUUCUUGGACAGAGAGCCCAGGAUGGGACUCCUUAGAAAACAUGUUUAUCUCAUUUUCUGCUUGUUUAUUUUUGUUUUUGUAACACAAAAAAUAAAUGUUUUGAUCUAAA